AGGUUCUGUUUCAUGAAGAAAAGUCAAUGUUAUCGUCUCUGUUUUACAGAUGGGUAAAACUACCAUGCAUUGAAGUGACUUGCCCACUGCUUUAUAAAAAGUUAUUUACAACAAAAUCUUCUGACUCCCAGCUUGGGCACCUUAUCUACAUAAUUGUCCUAUCAUCUGUGAAUACCUAGUUAACUGCACCAGCUUUAAACAUUCUCCUGCAGAGAUAUGGCUGAGAGGCUGAAGAAAGUAUUCAGCAGAGCUCCCAGUGUUGGAAAAUGACAUUCACCACUUCAUCCUAUGGCAACUUUAAGAGGUAGCCAUGCAGUCAACCUCUCCUUAAGAUCAACAAGAUUGAGGAUAUUGGACCCAGUGAGUGCUGACUGUUUUUUGUCAAGAGCAAGUUCUCAGUAGGAUGUUAUGUUGCUUGCAACACAAGAUCUAGGAAUGGUAAUGUAUAUAUUCAUGGU